rnacentral:rRNA from 1 species
ACGGAUGGUCAUGCGUCGCAUUAGCUAGUUGGCGGGGUAACGGCCCACCAAGGCGACGAUGCGUAGGGGUUCUGAGAGGAAGGUCCCCCACACUGGUACUGAGACACGGACCAGACUCCUACGGGAGGCAGCAGUGAGGAAUAUUGGUCAAUGGCCGCAGGGCUGAACCAGCCAAGUCGCGUGAGGGAUGACGGUCCUAUGGAUUGUAAACCUCUUUUGUCAGGGAGCAAAGGGCGCCACGUGUGGCGCUUUGCGAGUACCUGAAGAAAAAGCAUCGGCUAACUCCGUGCCAGCAGCCGCGGUAAUACGGAGGAUGCGAGCGUUAUCCGGAUUUAUUGGGUUUAAAGGGUGCGCAGGCGGAAUGUCAAGUCAGCGGUAAAAUUUCGGGGCUCAACCCCGUCGUGCCGUUGAAACUGGCGUUCUUGAGUGAGCGAGAAGUAUGCGGAAUGCGUGGUGUAGCGGUGAAAUGCAUAGAUAUCACGCAGAACUCCGAUUGCGAAGGCAGCAUACCGGCGCUCAACUGACGCUCAUGCACGAAAGCGUGGGUAUCGAACAGGAUUAGAUACCCUGGUAGUCCACGCAGU